UGGGGAAUCUUCCGCAAUGGACGAAAGUCUGACGGAGCGACGCCGCGUGAGUGAAGAAGGCCUUCGGGUUGUAAAGCUCUGUCUUUGGGGACGAACGUGCCUAUCAUAAAUAAUGAUAGGUAAUGACGGUACCCGAGGAGGAAGCCACGGCUAACUACGUGCCAGCAGCCGCGGUAAUACGUAGGUGGCAAGCGUUGUCCGGAAUUAUUGGGCGUAAAGCGCGCGCAGGCGGGAUAUCAAGUCUAUCUUAAAAGUUCGGGGCUCAACCCCGUGAUGGGAUGGAAACUGGUAUUCUUGAGUGUCGGAGAGGAAAGUGGAAUUCCCAGUGUAGCGGUGAAAUGCGUAGAUAUUGGGAGGAACACCAGUGGCGAAGGCGACUUUCUGGACGAUGUCUGACGCUGAGGCGCGAAAGCCAGGGGAGUGAACG
rnacentral:rRNA from 1 species